GACGUAGGGCGCGAGCGUUGUCCGGAUUAUUGGGCGUAAAGAGCUCGUAGGCGGCUUGUCGCGUCGACUGUGAAAACCCGCGGCUCAACUGCGGGCCUGCAGCCGAUACGGGCAGGCUAGAGUUCGGUAGGGGAGACUGGAAUUCCUGGUGUAGCGGUGAAAUGCGGCAGAUAUCAGGAGGAACACCGAUGGCGAAGGCAGAUCUCUGGGCCGUAACUGACG
rnacentral:rRNA from 1 species